AUGGCGUAAGCCUCUCGCUCCCCCCCCCCCAGCACGACAACAGCCACGGUGACAAAAUGGCAGCUCGGUGCCCGACAGGCGAGCCACCGGCGCAGAGCCGGGGACGGCCGCCCCUGCACCCCGAGAAUGCCAGGCACCCUGGGGCUGGGUCUCCCGCCGGCCUAGCAGUGCAAAUGACGAGGACAGGGGCCCGCAGGUCCGAGCCGGGCGAGAGCCCCCGGCCCGCCUCGCCCUCUCUAGAUCCAAUCCCCAGGCCCGCGCCGCCGAGCUUCUGCUGCGCCUGUGCGCGCCCGGGUCCCCUCCGCUGGGCACCCGGGUCCCCGCCGAGCCGGGUCCGCGGCCGCCGUGGGGGAGGGGCGGGCCGCCGGCGCCCCGGGAAACAUGGCUGCUCGUCCUAGUUCGGCGGCGUCGCGGCCACCAGUCCCCGAGAUGCGACUUGGGAGAGAGGUUGCAGAAGGAGGCAGCCCAUCUCCUCCCCUCGAUCAUCUUUUCCAUCCAGACGCGAGUCGUGGGAGCUGAGAGCUCGGACGAGGGUGAGAUCGCCGCGUUCCCUCCGACCCGAACGCGUGCGCCCCGCCGGCCCCCAGCUGGGUGCACACUCGCACGCACACCCUCGCACCCAUACCCGCACACGCGGGAGCACACGCACAGGUAGUCACACACCAAGGGCAGCGGCGGCGGUGGCCAGAACAUGCUCCGAUGGCAUUGCAACCCCCCCCCCAAUCCAACCUUGCAAUUCAUUUGCAGUCCGAUCCCAAGCCCUACACUACCCCGGACCCCCCUCCAUAAAAAAAAGUGCCUUCCCCCCAAACACACACGCACACAUAACACAAAGUAGGAGAAUGGACCGACAGAGAUAUUUUUGGCAAAUGCUCACAUCAGAGGGCGUCCUGUUCCGCAGCUCUAAAUGAAUCCGUUUGUCCAUAUCCAUCUCUCGCGCUCUCUCUCUGCAGAGGAUCCUGCGCCAGCGAAAUUCAAUCAAUAAACCCCGAACCCACGGCCGCGCGUUUUAGGACUUUGAAGGCUCAACCAGCUCCGCUCGGUUCUCGAGCCCCCAGCACCCGCGGCGCACACUAACCUGAUCGCCGUGAAGGCGGGACCUGCGGCUCCGGCGUGGAGCGGCGGCAGCACGAGCCAAUCGAGUGGCGAGGCUCCGGAUGCCAGCCAAUGGUGACGGCGGCGGCGGGGGGCAGGGUCCAAUGGGCGGCCUGCGCAGCGGGCCAGGGAGGCUCAGCCAUUUGGCUGUGGUGCCGGAGACGGACCCCUUUAGAUACCCGGGCGGCCGAGGAGGAGCGCGGCUGCAGCUUGGUGGCUGCGCGCGGGGGGCGGGAGGGAAGGCAGGGCAGGUGCGUGGACCUGAAGGUUCGUGACCGGGGGCGGGGCCGCAGGUGCGUGGACGCGGGAGGGGCGGGGUCCUCGCGGGGGCAUCCUCUAGGUGCUUGGCGGGCGGACGAGGCCUGGGGCGCGCGGGCGCCGGCCAGGCCCAGGGAGGGCGCGCAUUCUGGGAGCGCAGGAAGGACAGAUCACACCCUGGGCCGCCCACUCGGCGCAUCCCUUCGGACUGGGUCUGCUUCCAUGCCUGCAAUUAAAUAAGCAAGUCUAAGCGCAUGAUGUUCCCACCUUCCGAGGAGCGAGGGCGGGAUCGCGACCCAGAGGCUUGGCGUUCUGAUGUCCUGCCAGGGCAGCCUUAAAAGAAGCGAUUCCCCGAGAGCCACCGGAGACCUUGUGUAGGGCAAUAAUUGAAUGAAAAGGCCGUGGAUGCAGAACUGUAUAGAAUAUUAAAAAGUGCGGAAGGAAGGUGCUAGUAACUGCCGAUUCUCAGAGCCGAACAUAAUUUACGGGCUUUAUAGGUUUUGUUGAGAGUGAGCGUUGCACGUUUCAUUCUAAUCGCCCACCAAAGUCGUUUGGUUACAUCUGAGUUGCCAAGGAGUCGCUAACUGGAACACUUAUCGAGGUCUUUUGGUUGCUUUGGGUUUUGUUUUUUUGUUCGACCACGUUACGUUUUUAAGAGACCUUAAAAGCCCUGGUUCCCACUGGGUUACCAGCUUCCUAUGGGCAACCCUGGGACCUCAUGCACUGCAUGGAUAUCUGUGGCUGUGGACAAAUCACGGGGAUGACUGUCAACAGGGACACAUGUUUAACGUCAUCCACACAACUGUAUCAUAGUGUCUGUUUCUCUUCGUCUACACUCUUCCGCAAAUACCCCAAGGUAGUUUUAUCUUUGUGGAUACAUUGGAACUGAGCAUUUUAUUCAGUAAGUUCUUUUAGAUCAAAUAAUAAAUGAAUUUGAAAGCCGAUAAAUAUUUAUUCUAAGUAACUGGAAGUACGAAAUAAAAAUGUCAUCUGGAUGAAUAUGGCA